GAUGAACGUUGGCGGCGUGCCUAAUACAUGCAAGUCGCACGUGGAUCCAUUAGCAAUAAUGGUGAAAGUGGCGGACGGGUGAGUAACACAUGGCUGACCUGCCCUUCAGAGGGGGACAACCACUGGAAACGGUGGCUAAUACCCCGUACGCUCUUGGAGAUUAGAGGCUCUGAGAGGAAAGCCUACGGGUGCUGAAGGAGGGGGCUGUGGCCCAUCAGCUAGUUGGUAGGGUAAAGGCCUACCAAGGCGAGGACGGGUAGGGGGCCUGAGAGGGUGAUCAGCCACACUGGAACUGAGACACGGUCCAGACUCCUACGGGAGGCAG
rnacentral:rRNA from 1 species